UACGUACCGUCCAAACGUUAUUCGGAAUCACUGGGCUUAAAGAGUUCGUAGGCGGCUCAGAAAGUUGGGUGUGAAAUCCCUCGGCUCAACCGAGGAAUUGCGCUCAAAACUACUGGGCUAGAGGGAGAUAGAGGUGAGCGGAACUGAUGGUGGAGCGGUGAAAUGCGUUGAUAUCAUCAGGAACACCGGUGGCGAAGGCGGCAUCCUGGACCGGUAUUGACGCUGAGGCGCGAAAGCCAGGGGAGCAAACGGG
rnacentral:rRNA from 1 species